GUGUCAGCCGCCGCGGUAAUACGGAGGGUGCAAGCGUUAUCCGGAAUCACUGGGUUUAAAGGGUGCGUAGGCGGCCUAGUAAGUCAGGGGUGAAAGGUCACGGCUCAACCGUGGAAUUGCCUUUGAUACUGCUGGGCUUGAAUCAGGAUGAGGUCGGCGGAAUGUGGCAUGUAGCGGUGAAAUGCAUAGAUAUGCCAUAGAACACCAAUUGCGAAGGCAGCUGGCUAGACCUUGAUUGACGCUGAGGCACGAAAGCGUGGGGAGCGAACAGGAUUAGAUACCCCCGUAGUCC
rnacentral:rRNA from 1 species